rnacentral:rRNA from 1 species
UACGUAGGUGGCGAGCGUUGUCCGGAUUUAUUGGGCGUAAAGCGCGCGCAGGUGGUGCGGUAAGUCCUGUGUGAAAUCUCCCGGCCCAACUGGGAGGGUGCGGAGGAGACUGCCGGACUGGAGGCACUCAGAGGCCGGUGGAAUUCCCGGUGUGGUGGUGAAAUGCGUAGAGAUCGGGAGGAACACCAGUGGCGAAGGCGGCCGGCUGGGGGUGACCUGACGCUGAGGCGCGAAAGCGUGGGGAGCGAACAGG